UGCAGUGAUCGCCGUUGAAAGACGGUUUUCCUCUUCGAGGCACUGCACAGGUGCUGCAUUGGCUGUCGUCAGCUCGUGUCGUGAGAUGUUGGGUUAAGUCCCGCAACGAGCGCAACCCUUAUCCCCAGUUGCCAUCAGGUAAAGCUGGAACUCUGGGGAGACUGCCGGUGAUAACCGGAGAAGGCGGGAUGACGUCAAGUCCUCAUGGCCCUUACAUCCCGGGCUACACACGUGCUACAAUGGCAGGUACAGAGGGCUGCAAAGCCGCGAGGUAGAGCGAAUCCCAGAAAACCUGUCUCAGUCCGGAUUGAAGUCUGCAACUCGACUUCAUGAAGGCGGAAUCGCUAGUAAUCGCAGGUCAGCAUACUGCGGUGAAUACGUUCCCGGGCCUU
rnacentral:rRNA from 1 species